UACGGAGGAUCCAAGCGUUAUCCGGAUUUAUUGGGUUUAAAGGGAGCGUAGGCGGCUCAUUAAGUCAGGGGUGAAAGUUUGCAGCUCAACUGUAAAAUUGCCUUUGAUACUGAUGAGCUUGAAUGUAGUUGAGGUGGGCGGAAUGUGACAAGUAGCGGUGAAAUGCAUAGAUAUGUCACAGAACGCCGAUUGCGAAGGCAGCUCACCAAGCUAUGAUUGACGCUGAGGCUCGAAAGCGUGGGGAUCAAACAGG
rnacentral:rRNA from 1 species